GACGAACGCUGGCGGCGUGCCUAAUACAUGCAAGUCGAGCGGACCGACGGGAGCUUGCUCCCUUAGGUCAGCGGCGGACGGGUGAGUAACACGUGGGUAACCUGCCUGUAAGACUGGGAUAACUCCGGGAAACCGGGGCUAAUACCGGAUGCUUGAUUGAACCGCAUGGUUCCAAUCAUAAAAGGUGGCUUUUAGCUACCACUUACAGAUGGACCCGCGGCGCAUUAGCUAGUUGGUGAGGUAACGGCUCACCAAGGCGACGAUGCGUAGCCGACCUGAGAGGGUGAUCGGCCACACUGGGACUGAGACACGGCCCAGACUCCUACGGGAGGCAGCAGUAGGGAAUCUUCCGCAAUGGACGAAAGUCUGACGGAGCAACGCCGCGUGAGUGAUGAAGGUUUUCGGAUCGUAAAACUCUGUUGUUAGGGAAGAACAAGUGCCGUUCGAAUAGGGCGGUACCUUGACGGUACCUAACCAGAAAGCCACGGCUAACUACGUGCCAGCAGCCGCGGUAAUACGUAGGUGGCAAGCGUUGUCCGGAAUUAUUGGGCGUAAAGCGCGCGCAGGCGGUUUCUUAAGUCUGAUGUGAAAGCCCCCGGCUCAACCGGGGAGGGCCAUUGGAAACUGGGGAACUUGAGUGCAGAAGAGGAGAGUGGAAUUCCACGUGUAGCGGUGAAAUGCGUAGAGAUGUGGAGGAACACCAGUGGCGAAGGCGACUCUCUGGUCUGUAACUGACGCUGAGGCGCGAAAGCGUGGGGAGCGAACAGGAUUAGAUACCCUGGUAGUCCACGCCGUAAACGAUGAGUGCUAAGUGUUAGAGGGUUUCCGCCCUUUAGUGCUGCAGCAAACGCAUUAAGCACUCCGCCUGGGGAGUACGGUCGCAAGACUGAAACUCAAAGGAAUUGACGGGGGCCCGCACAAGCGGUGGAGCAUGUGGUUUAAUUCGAAGCAACGCGAAGAACCUUACCAGGUCUUGACAUCCUCUGACAACCCUAGAGAUAGGGCUUCCCCUUCGGGGGCAGAGUGACAGGUGGUGCAUGGUUGUCGUCAGCUCGUGUCGUGAGAUGUUGGGUUAAGUCCCGCAACGAGCGCAACCCUUGAUCUUAGUUGCCAGCAUUCAGUUGGGCACUCUAAGGUGACUGCCGGUGACAAACCGGAGGAAGGUGGGGAUGACGUCAAAUCAUCAUGCCCCUUAUGACCUGGGCUACACACGUGCUACAAUGGGCAGAACAAAGGGCAGCGAAGCCGCGAGGCUAAGCCAAUCCCACAAAUCUGUUCUCAGUUCGGAUCGCAGUCUGCAACUCGACUGCGUGAAGCUGGAAUCGCUAGUAAUCGCGGAUCAGCAUGCCGCGGUGAAUACGUUCCUGGGCCUUGUACACACCGCCCGUCACACCACGAGAGUUUGUAACACCCGAAGUCGGUGAGGUAACCUUUUGGAGCCAGCCGCCGAAGGUGGGACAGAUGAUUGGGGUG
rnacentral:rRNA from 1 species